rnacentral:lncRNA from 1 species
UGGUGUCUUCAUUAUAAGAAAAUAAACGAGAUUUCAAGUCUUCCCCGCCUCCAGUAUCAUGACCUAUAACUGAACAUUACACCUUUUUAAUGUUUUCUUUAGAAGCCCUGAUUUAUUUGGCUUUUAUGUUGAUACAUGUCCAUGGUUAUUAAAAUUUCUGAUUAUUUAGGACAUAAUUUUUAAAGUAUCUUUAGGGUAUACACUGUAUAGUACUUAACAUCUUAUUCAGGUUAUGACUUUGAACUACAUCAUUAUAACACUAAAAAAACAACCUUGGCAAACUUCAGUACCUUACAUAACAUAAAAAAUAAAGAAUAGCUUGAAUUUAAAAUACUUUCUAUAUGUUUACUUCAGGUAUUCUUAAGGGCUUUUAGUACAAAGAUAAAAACAUGCGUUGGAGUGCAUUAACUUUCCAACUUAUAUAAAUGGUGUAGAUACCUAUGGCAUUAAUACCACAUUUUGAUGGUUGGAUCACCCACCAAAUUCCCUUCUCUCCUUUUUUACUUUUUUCUGUUUACUUUCAUUGCAAGUUUCUUUCCGUACCCUUCUUUCCCACCUACAAUUUGUAACUGAAAGAAAGAAGUAGCUACAGACCUUACCUAACCUACUCUUAACCUACUUGGUAGGGAGGAUUCAGAUGCUCGAAUAAGGGAUUUUAGUCAUGCCUUUUAGAAAUUAGGGAGCAAGAGAUAUAUAGAAAAAUUAGAAAUGUCUCUUCUACCUUUAUUAAGUUUACCUUUGAGAAAUAUGAACAGGGGCAGAAGGACGGAAAAACGAACAGAACUUCUGCUGGAAUAUUGUGACAGAUUUACUGACAAAUAUUUUCUAACAGAUUUUUACCAACAGGCAGUUUUUGUUUUCUUUACUGACAGACCGUAAAUGUACUUCUGGUUGGCAGCAGCUGCAUCAUUAUAACACUAAAAAGCAACCUUGGCUAACUUCAUUACCUUAUGUAACGUAAAAAAUAAAGAAUAACUUGAAUUUAAAAUACUUUUUAUAUGUUUACUAACAAUAAACUAUUUUCAAUGCAGGAAAUAAAUCUUUCCCCAAAGAGGAAUCCCCCCUCAAUUACUUUCUUUUAGACUUAACAAAUUGGAGUAGAUGUGGUUUUGCUCAUUCUUUUAUCUGCUGGCAACUAUUUUAAGUCUCCUGUGUAAGGCAGAUUCCGAUGACCUCGGGAAAGUCACAGGACCUCAGUUUCUUCAAUGGUAAAAGCAAAGGCAGUGGUUUCGACCGUCCUUUCUCACUGCACCAUUCAGCGCCAGUGCCCUCAUGAGAAACACACCCAAAGCCCAGUGUGCUCUAUCUCGAGACUUGUGAAAUUUCUAGAGUCUCAAAGUAUGUUUAAGGCGGUAUAAUAAAAGCCAGGUGGCCGACAGUUCCUAAAGUUAGGCUGGUAGUGGCGUGAACAGGGUCUUUUGGGCCACCCUGAGACCCGCCCCAAGUCUUGGCUUCUCGCUCCACUUCCACAGAACGUACUGAAUCAGGGGCCUGCAUCCCCGCGUGGUGCCGGCGGAGAAAUGGACUCCUUUUCUCGCUCCCGUGGAGUUUCGUCUUCUGGGUGAGUGUGGCACCGGGUCCUGGGCGGGUGAUGUCUGUAGUUGGCAAGCGAUCCUCAGCCAGAAAACUGGCCGCGCACACAGGCGCAGACACGCGAGCAUGUUCCUGCGAACCAGCUUGGGCGCAUGUUUUCCUCCCUUGCAUUCUCUAAUGCUCAGAGACCGUAAGGGGAUUUAUCGAGAAGCAUUCGGUGCCCAUGCCCGGUUUGAAACCGCGAGCACAAUAUCUGGUUCCUUUGCAGUACGGUGGUUUGCUCCUGAGUUACGACCAGAAACCGGAACAGAAGGAAAGGGAGAAAGCAGAGGAGGUUCGGGGACGACGGCGCUCCGGGCAGCAAGGCAGCAGCUUCCAAAGCGUGGAGGAUGGGACUGAGGAGGAACGGAAUACGGAGAAAGAGGGAAGCUGAGGAAAAAUACUCACGCCAAUGGGUAAAAGGGAAAAGGUGAGAAGGAAUGGAGUAGGAGAGGGAACCAAUGGUGGGAGAGGCGGAGGAAGAAGGGGGAGGGGCAGAAGCCAAUGGGGGAGCGGAGAGGGGGAAGCAGAGGGAGGAGGGGAGGGAGGAGCGAGGAGGGGACUGGAGCCCUGGAGGCAGGGAGACGAGGGCAGGG